rnacentral:rRNA from 1 species
GAUGAACGCUGGCGGCGUGCCUAAUACAUGCAAGUCGAGCGAACAGACGAGGAGCUUGCUCCUCUGACGUUAGCGGCGGACGGGUGAGUAACACGUGGAUAACCUACCUAUAAGACUGGGAUAACUUCGGGAAACCGGAGCUAAUACCGGAUAAUAUAUUGAACCGCAUGGUUCAAUAGUGAAAGACGGUUUUGCUGUCACUUAUAGAUGGAUCCGCGCCGCAUUAGCUAGUUGGUAAGGUAACGGCUUACCAAGGCAACGAUGCGUAGCCGACCUGAGAGGGUGAUCGGCCACACGGGAGCUGAGACACGGUCCAGACGCCUACGGGAGGCAGCAGUAGGGAAUCUUCCGCAAUGGGCGAAAGCUUUACGGAGCAACGCCGCGUGAGUGAUGAAGGUCUUCGGAUCGUAAAACUCUGUUAUUAGGGAAGAACAAAUGUGUAAGUAACUAUGCACGUCUUGACGGUACCUAAUCAGAAAGCCACGGCUAACUACGUG